AGGGAAUAUUGGGCAAUGGGCGAGAGCCUGACCCAGCCAUGCCGCGUGCAGGAAGAAGGCUUUCUGAGUCGUAAACUGCUUUUGACAGGGAAGAAUAAGUACUACGUGUAGUACGAUGACGGUACCUGCAGAAUAAGCACCGGCUAACUCCGUGCCAGCAGCCGCGGUAAUACGGAGGGUGCGAGCGUUGUCCGGAUUUAUUGGGUUUAAAGGGUGCGUAGGCGGCCGUUUAAGUCUGGGGUGAAAGCCCGCUGCUCAACAGCGGAACUGCCCUGGAUACUGGAUGGCUUGAGUACAGACGAGGUUGGCGGAAUGGACGGAGUAGCGGUGAAAUGCAUAGAUACCGUCCAGAACCCCGAUUGCGAAGGCAGCUGACUAGGCUGUUACUGACGCUGAGGCACGAAAGCGUGGGGAGCGAAC
rnacentral:rRNA from 1 species